AUUGAACGCUGGCGGCAGGCCUAACACAUGCAAGUCGAGCGAGCGGCGGACGGGUGAGUACUGUCUGGGAAACUGCCUGAUGGAGAGGGAUAACUACUGGAAACGGUAGCUAAUACCGCAUACCAUCAGAUGUGCCCCGAUGGGAUGAGCUGGUAGGUGGGGUAACGGCUCACCUAGGCGACGAUCCCUAGCUGGUCUGAGAGGAUGACCAGCCACACUGGAACGGAGACACGGUCCAGACUCCUACGGGAGGCAGCAGUGGGGAAUAUUGCACAAUGGGCGCAAGCCUGAUGCAGCCAUGCCGCGUGUGUGAAGAAGGCCUUCGGGUUGUAAAGCACUUUCAGCUGGGAGGCGUUACCCGCAGAAGAAGCACCGGCUAACUCCGUGCCAGCAGCCGCGGUAAUUC
rnacentral:rRNA from 1 species